rnacentral:rRNA from 1 species
GAUGAACGCUGGCGGCGUGCCUAAUACAUGCAAGUCGAGCGAACGGACGAGAAGCUUGCUUCUCUGAUGUUAGCGGCGGACGGGUGAGUAACACGUGGAUAACCUACCUAUAAGACUGGGAUAACUUCGGGAAACCGGAGCUAAUACCGGAUAAUAUUUUGAACCGCAUGGUUCAAAAGUGAAAGACGGUCCUGCUGUCACUUAUAGAUGGAUCCGCGCUGCAUUAGCUAGUUGGUAAGGUAACGGCUUACCAAGGCAACGAUGCAUAGCCGACCUGAGAGGGUGAUCGGCCACACUGGAACUGAGACACGGUCCAGACUCCUACGGGAGGCAGCAGUAGGGAAUCUUCCGCAAUGGGCGAAAGCCUGACGGAGCAACGCCGCGUGAGUGAUGAAGGUCUUCGGAUCGUAAAACUCUGUUAUUAGGGAAGAACAUAUGCGUAAGUAACUGUGCACAUCUUGACGGUACCUAAUCAGAAAGCCACGGCUAACUACGUG